rfam:Dickeya dadantii 3937, complete genome.
GACAUUACGCUGUCGUGCAGGUGAGAAGCUGCGUUCAGGUUCGAGCCGAGCGAAGCGAGACAACAGCGCGCAGCGCUGGCCCGAAGGGCGAGGCCGCAGGCCGAGUCAUCCUGCACGACCCACCA